AAGAGAAAAAAAAAAUUCCAAGUCUUUAGACUUUGAUCCAAAAAUCUCUUCCUUCUUGGAUUCUUGAUGAGUUUAAGGCCCUCUACAACGUGGUAUAAUUAGUUUGGCAAGAAAACUCCGUUUGCGGAAAGGGGAAAAUUGAAGAAAAAGGUUUUAGGCGAAACGGAGUUUGAUUUUGGACAAGCGUAAGGAGCGCGAAAGGUACAGAGGUUCGUGAUCUGCCAGUGUAGAACCCACAUUCUGCUAUCACAGAGUGCUCCUUUGAUCCGGAGCCCACAUUUUGGUACAUAUGUUUUUUUGCUACGUAUAUGUUUCUGUACAUUUGACUAUUUGGGUACGGCGGGGUCCUGUCCCGUCAUAUGUCUUCGUUUUGAUUUGUAGAGGCAUGUAGUCAUAUAUGUGGGUCAUGGGCAUUAUGUGUGUGCGUUUGUUUGUGAUCUGCAUCUUAGUGCG